CUUUUGGAGAAAAUAAGCGUCCGUGACAGAUGUCGUCUCUUCUUGAUGGCGUCUUAUCUCUUGGCAAGUGUUCACUGGCGAUGUAGAUAUACACGUAUAUACUAUACAUAUGAAUUAAGAUAGCGCGAGGUAACUGCAGAUUUGUUUCAACUGUGUUUUUCUUUUCUGCUGAAAGUGCUCGCUCUAUUGUUGUUUCCCUUCUCUUCUGAGCACUAUCGGCGACUUAUGGCGUCAUCUUGGCAUUUGAAAUGUUCAAUCCCGAUGGCACGUUUCAAAGGGAGGGCACAAAGCAUAUCUCUCCCGACCGCGGCAGCCAUCGAGGAGGAGGAGCUAUCCCCCAACUGGAAGUAAUCGAUAUCUUUCGUCUAGAAUCGAUUUCUUGUCGGUUGGUAUAAGCCCCGCAUUUUUGUUUUUGUUUUCCAAGUCAAGUUGGAAAUUAAUCCGAAAUCAAAGACAGAGAUCGGAUUGGAAGUUCAAUGGGAAAAGAAAAUUCAGAAAAAUACGAUUUAGUGUUCACACUCAGAUAUGAUUACGGAGGAAUUUUUUAAAUUGAAUUCAUCAAUUUCAAACACAAAAUUGGUGCUGUCACUAAUAUUACGUAAAAGCCGCUUUUCCGUCAUCUAGCGGUGAUAUGUUCAACUUCGUAGCCAGGUUUAUGUUUAGUGUUAAUGUUUGAAAUCCUUGGAAUAACCUAAUUGAACAAAUUUAUGAACAAAUUAACAAUGAACAUCAUCGGUCCACAGCUAGUGCAAAACAUCCAAUGUAUCAACACGUUUGAAAUUCAGCGUACUAUUAUCAUCAGCCUGUUGUCGUUGUGCACAUAUCCGAUGUGUUUCCAUAGACUACUUCGUAGAAUCGUAGUCUAUGGUAACCUUAUUGUAGUCUAUGGUGUUUAUACGGUUUGUCCUUUCUUUAUAUAAUUGGAUUAUCAACAGAUGCAGGAACAAGAACAAACCUGAUAAACAAACGGAAAUGAGAAGACAACUUAUGGAGACACGCAAGCAUAACCUGCCGGAGAUUCAGAUAGUAUGUCUUGCACUCUAUUGCUCAAGUUCUGACCGUGAACAUGGAAUUCUUAGCAACAAUAUUGAGCCGAGACUUGCAGCCAGAUGUUAAAAGAUUUGAAGCACUUUUAACUGAAACUCACAAAGACUAAAGUACACAUAGAAUAUAACUAAGAAUGAACAAGGAAGGAACGCGAAAGGCAACUGAAACUACAAGUAGGCUCCUAUCAUCAAUUCUUUGAUUAAAAUCGUCGUUCUGCUGGAUGCUUUAUCCUGUUGCUACAGAUCACUAACCCCAGCGUGGACAACACAUGUUGUUUUUUUCAUGUUUUCUACAAAUAAUGCAUUGACAGACAAGCCAUGGGUAAUCUUCAGGUUAAUUGCAGCAACUUGGGACUUGCGAGAAGUCCUGUGAAAAGACACAGGGCACAUGACCAGAUUUGUAUUUUUCUGAAUGUUCUACUCAAGUAGUAGGGAACAACUAACUUUACCUUAUUGCAUGAAUGUUGGAAUAUUUAUUGAAAUAUUUCCUAUAGUAUUCAACAUGACUAAUUUGUUAUGCCAAAGUUAGUUGGAACCCUAACUCAAACACAGACAACACGUUGCUGCUGCCUUACAGCCACAGGCAGGAAAAUGAUUCUUUUCUUCACAAAAUUGGAAAGCUGCUGGAGUAAUCUAGUACCCAUCCCCACUUGAUUCAUUUCGUGCCAGCAGCUAGUGAAUGGCGUGACGAAUUCAAAUUUAGCUGCUGCGUGCUGUCUGCAAGCAAGCAAUCCAAUUGACUGUCGCUAGGUGGCGCGAGUGUCUUCAGGGGACCAAAUCCGGCCAUUUUGUCCCUUGACGCAGCAGAAGUGGGAUGCCGGUCGUGACGUUUGGCAUGAUGAAAAUGCGAUUUCAAUACCAAUUUCUCAAAUCAUUAACUCGGACUUGAGUGCCUGUUCAUUUUGUCGAAAUGUCGUGCCUCGUGUGUCUUGCCGCCUGUACCCGUACGUCUCGUCCCAUGCAAAAGCAAAAGUCUAACAAUCCCGCUUCUUGGUGCAGCCAGAUGGUGAAAGGUGUGAUGAAGACAACUUCAACUGUUGUAUGCAGGAUGUGGUGCCAGUGUUAUGCAGAAGUAGCUGUGCUGGAAGUGUCAUAACGAAGUAGCUGUGCCAGAAUUUUUCCAAGUUGCUAACUUCAAAAUUUUAACUGUUUUCAUAUGUGUGGUUUGCUUUGCAAGUGGUAUCCCGUGUUGCUGACUUUAAAUAUUUUUAUUCGUUUUUAUUUGUGGUUUUGCUCUGCCAGUGAGUUGCUGACUUGAAUUGGUUUCAUCUUUUGUUUGUUUACUUGUGCAGUAUACGAUUGUGGCAAUCUGACCCCAUGUCAGAUUUGACAUAGUCGACAACUGCUAGAUUAAAUUCCGGCUUUCUGCACCAACAAAAUAAUAACGGCACAUGUUAU
rnacentral:lncRNA from 1 species